rnacentral:rRNA from 1 species
AUUGAACGCUGGCGGCAGGCCUAACACAUGCAAGUCGAGCGAGCGGCGGACGGGUGAGUAAUGUCUGGGCAACUGCCCGAUGGAGGGGGAUAACUACUGGAAACGGUAGCUAAUACCGCAUACCAUCGGAUGUGCCCAGAUGGGAUUAGCUUGUGGGUGAGGUAACGGGUCACCUAGGCGACGAUCCCUAGCUGGUCUGAGAGGAUGAACAGCCACACUGGAACUGAGACACGGUCCAGACUCCUACGGGAGGCAGCAGGGGGGAAUAUUGGACAAUGGGCGCAAGCCGGAUGCAGCCAUGCCGCGUGUAUGAAGAAGGCCUUCGGGUUGUAAAGUACGUUCAGCGGGGAGGCGUUACCCGCAGAAGAAGCACCGGCUAACUCCGUGCCAGCAGCCGCGGUAAUAC